GAUGAACGCUGGCGGCGUGCCUAAUACAUGCAAGUCGAGCGAACAGACGAGGAGCUUGCUCCUCUGACGUUAGCGGCGGACGGGUGAGUAACACGUGGAUAACCUACCUAUAAGACUGGGAUAACUUCGGGAAACCGGAGCUAAUACCGGAUAAUAUAUUGAACCGCAUGGUUCAAUAGUGAAAGACGGUUUUGCUGUCACUUAUAGAUGGAUCCGCGCCGCAUUAGCUAGUUGGUAAGGUAACGGCUUACCAAGGCGACGAUGCGUAGCCGACCUGAGAGGGUGAUCGGCCACACUGGAACUGAGACAGGGUCCAGACUCCUACGGGAGGCAGCAGUAGGGAAUCUUCCGCAAUGGGCGAAAGCCUGACGGAGCAACGCCGCGUGAGUGAUGAAGGUCUUCGGAUCGUAAAACUCUGUUAUUAGGGAAGAACAAAUGUGUAAGUAACUAUGCACGUCUUGACGGUACCUAAUCAGAAAGCCACGGCUAACUACGUG
rnacentral:rRNA from 1 species